rnacentral:rRNA from 1 species
UAGGGAAUAUUGGACAAUGGGGGCAACCCUGAUCCAGCAAUGCCGCGUGAGUGAUGAAGGCCUUAGGGUUGUAAAGCUCUUUACCCGGGUAUGAUAAUGACAGUACCGGGAGAAUAAGCUCCGGCUAACUCCGUGCCAGCAGCCGCGGUAAUACGGAGGGAGCUAGCGUUGUUCGGAAUUACUGGGCGUAAAGCGCACGUAGGCGGCUAUUCAAGUUAGAGGUGAAAGCCCGGGGCUCAACCCCGGACUGCCUUUGAAACUAGAUAGCUUGAAUCCAGGAGAGGUGAGUGGAAUUCCGAGUGUAGAGGUGAAAUUCGUAGAUAUUCGGAAGAACACCAGUGGCGAAGGCGGCUCACUGGACUUGGUAUUGACGC